AGAACGAACGCUGGCGGCAGGCUUAACACAUGCAAGUCGAACGGUUGUAGCAAUACAGCAGUGGCAGACGGGAGAGUAACACGUGGGAACCUUCCUGGGGGUACGGAACAACUCAGGGAAACUUGAGCUAAUACCGUAUACGUCCGUGAGGAGAAAGUUUUAACGCCCCUAGACGGGCCCGCGUAGGGAUUAGGUAGUUGGUGAGGUAACGGCUCACCAAGCCUACGAUCCUUAGCUGAUCUGAGAGGAUGAUCAGCCACACUGGGACUGAGACACGGCCCAGACUCCUACGGGAGGCAGCAGUGGGGAAUCUUGGACAAUGGGACGCAGGCCUGAUCCAGCCAUGCCGCGUGAGUGAAGAAGGCCUUGGGUUGUAAAGCUCUUUUACCAGGGACGAUAAUGACGGUACCUGGAGAAUAAGCCCCGGCAAACGUUCGUGCCAGCAGCCGC
rnacentral:rRNA from 1 species